rnacentral:pre_miRNA from 1 species
AGGAGCAACAGCCCUAGUGGUGGCGGCAGCUCUGGAAACCUGGAUUCAGCUCCCGCAGGAACUCCGGAGCUCUCGUCUGCAGGGCUGAACUGCUCAGCUCGGGG